UACAGAGGGUGCGAGCGUUAAUCGGAAUUACUGGGCGUAAAGCGCGCGUAGGUGGCUAUGCAAGUCGGAUGUGAAAUCCCCGGGCUCAACCUGGGAACUGCAUUCGAGACUGCAUUGCUCGAGUAUGGGAGAGGGAAGUGGAAUUUCCGGUGUAGCGGUGAAAUGCGUAGAUAUCGUAAGGAAGACCAGUGGCGAAGGCGAGUCUCUGGACAGCAACUGACGCUGAGGCACGAAGGCCAGGGGAGCAAACGGG
rnacentral:rRNA from 1 species